UACAGAGGGGGCAAGCGUUAUUCGGAAUUAUUGGGCGUAAAGCGCACGUAGGCGGCUUAGUAAGUUGGAUGUGAAAACCCUCGGCUUAACCAAGGAAGUGCAUCCAAAACUACUGAGCUUGAGUACUAAAGAGGAUCGCGGAAUUCCCGGUGUAGAGGUGAAAUUCGUAGAUAUCGGGAGGAACACCAGUGGCGAAGGCGGCGAUCUGGGUAGAUACUGACGCUGAGGUGCGAAAGCGUGGGGAGCAAACAGG
rnacentral:rRNA from 1 species